GUCUACGGCCAUACUACUCUGAAAGUACCUGAUCCCAUCUGAUCUCAGAAGCUAAGCAGGGUCAGACCUGGUUAGUACUUGGAAGGGAGACCACGUGGGAAUACUGGAUGCUGUAGGCU